rnacentral:rRNA from 1 species
AUAGAGACUCAGAGCUGCAUAUCAAUAAGCGGAGGAAAAGAAACUAACAAGGAUUCCCUUAGUAACGGCGAGUGAAGCGGGAAGAGCUCAAAUUUGAAAUCUUCAAGGUUCUACCUUGACGAAUUGUAGUUUAAAGAAGUGUUUUCUGUUAGAUGAGUAGCAAAAGUUCCUUGGAAUGGGACAUCAUAGAGGGUGAGAAUCUCGUAUUUGGUUAUUCAUUCUAGCUUUGUGAUACACUUUCAAAGAGUCGGAUUGUUUGGGAAUGCAGUCCAAAAUGGGUGGUAAAUUUCAUCUAAAGCUAAAUAUUGGCGAGAGACCGAUAGCGAACAAGUACCGUGAGGGAAAGAUGAAAAGAACUUUGAAAAGAGAGUUAAACAGUACGUGAAAUUGUCAAAAGGGAAGCGUUUGACACCAGUGUUGUUUUUCCGAAAAUCAAUUAUCGAUGCUUUGAUUCUGAGGAGUGUAUUGACCUUAUCAGGCUUCCUUCUACUUUUUACGAAUCUUUCUGUAAUGCACUUUUCGGUUAACAAGUCAACAUCAAUUUCUUUUGUUGUAAAAGAGUCAUUCGGAAGGUGGCUUUCAUUUCGGUAGAAAGUGUUUAUAGCCCUAUAGCUUCUGCAAUCGGAGAGAUUGAGGUCUGCAGCGUAGAUCCUUCGGGGUUAGAUACAGUUAGAUGCUAAGUUAUAGCUUUUCAUAGACAACUUGUUGACUAUGUUUAGUCAUGCGGCUUACUCGCUUAGUGCUAUUUUACCUACGCUUAGGAUGUUGAAGUCAUCGUAUCGCGC